AUGGAUCCGUCGCCGAACUCGCACCCGAUCCUCUCCUAUGUGCUCUCCCGCCUCCCGUCGAUCAAGACGGGGUCCCUGAGGCUCUCCUCCCCGCACGACCUCGAGCAGCCGCCGCCGCCGUCCCCGUCCCCGCGCGCCCCGUCGGGCCCCGCGGAGUUCGAGCUCGUGGAGCGCAUGCCUGGCCUCCGCCACCCGUCCGUCCUCCGGUUCUUGACGCGCGCAGUCGCCGACAUCACCUGCGCGCGCGACGCGCUCCGCCACCUCGGCCCCCGCCCCGAUCACGAGCUGGUCGACUCCGCCCGCGCCUUCCUCCUCUCGCACUCCCAUGGAAACCUCGUCGGAUUGGAUAUCGAAGAGAAGGUGGUGGAGAGCCUGGAGGUGGUCCGGUUAGACGAGGAGCACGAGGCUUACGGUGUCCUGCUGCGGGAGGCGGAGGAGAAGCUGGAGCUGGUGUACCGGAUGGCGAUGCACGGGAGGGACGUGGCGGAAGGGGGCGGCGAGAGAAGGGAGGACGAGGGAUCCGGCGAUGUGGACGAGGAGGUGGUGAGGCUGCUCAAGCAGGCGCAGGAAGGGAGGGUGGUGGAGCAGGUGCGCCUCGCCGACCGCCAGCUACUCCACCUGCCUGAGCCCUUGGGCCGGAUCCGCGGCCUCCUCGUGCUCGACGUCUCGCGCAACCAGCUCCAGGCUGUCCCCGAUGCCAUAGGCGGGCUUCAACAUCUGGAAGAACUCCGGCUCGCUUCCAACGUCUUGGUCUCCCUCCCGGAUUCCAUCGGGCUUCUCUCCAACCUGAAGGUGCUCGACGUCUCCAGCAACAAGCUCAGAUCUCUGCCCGACAGCAUCUCAAGAUGCGGGUCACUGGUCGAGCUGGACGCGAGCUGCAACGUUCUGGCGUACCUCCCGACGGGCAUCGGCUACGAGCUGGUGAACCUGCAGAAGCUCUGGGUGCACCUCAACAAGCUGCGCUCGCUGCCGUCCUCCAUCUGCGAGAUGCGGUCCCUGCGCCUCCUGGAUGUGCACUUCAACGAGCUCCGCGGCCUGCCCUCCUCCUUCGGCAAACUGGUGGCGCUUGAGUCGCUCAACCUGAGCAGCAACUUCAGCGACAUGCGGGACCUGCCGGCGUCGUUCGGCGACCUGGUCGGCCUUCGUGAGCUCGACCUCAGCAACAACCAGAUACACGCGCUGCCGGACUGCUUCGGAAGACUUGACCGGCUUGAGCGGCUCUGCCUGGACCAGAACCCGCUGGUCGUGCCGCCCCUGGAGGUGGUGGCCAAGGGCGUCGGAGCGGUGAGGGAGUACAUGGACAAGAGGCUGCAGGCCGAGGAGGAGCGGCGGAAGAGCGCCGUGGCGGCUGGGAGCCCCAAGGCGUCGUCGCCAAUUGCGUGGCUGUCCCGGAGCGUGUCGUCUCUGAGCACCUGGGUUUCGGACGUCGCCGGGCCGGAGAAGGCGGUGGAGGAGGACAAGUUCCUCGAGCAGGAGCUGUGA
rnacentral:rRNA from 1 species